AUGGCCACCCUCCUCCUUUUAAUCUCCCCAGGCGCCGGUUCAGCAUCGAAUAAAAUCGAAUCUUCCCCGAUUUUGGGCGUGGGGAUGGAAGGGAAGGAGCUGGAUGCGCUGAAUCUUGGAUCUCGCUCGGAAUGGCAGCUGUGAGGAGGCGGGGAUGCAGGCGGAUGCCUGAUGCGAGAGUCGUCCGGCUGGCUGGAGACGUUGCUGGAUGAUACGCACGGUGAUCGCGAAAGCUGUGAGGCAUGCCGGCACGAUCUCUGCUGAUCUGGUCGCGAUGAUUACAGGGAUCUAAAAUCUGGGACGCCGUGGCGGUGUUCGAAAUGGAAGGAUGGCCGGAGAUGCGCUGCAGCCUUGAAUCGUGCCAUGGACGCGUUGAAGAUGCUUCGGACGAACGCCUGAUUCGCUAGCUGCACCGUGG
rnacentral:lncRNA from 1 species